CACCAGUGGUAUUUCUACAGUAGAAUAUCACAGGGCCAAAGGCCUCAGUCUCACCAGUUACCACCAUCAGUAUGUCCAGCUUGGUGUUGUUUCUCAGAGAGGUUCUCAGGGAGGUCCCUGGAUGGCUGCUGUGUGUUGGGGUCUUCCUGCCCGUCACUCUGCUGCUGAUACAGAUCAUCGUUUACCUGAACUGGAAGCUGACGGAAGUAGAGGCAGAGUUGUCUGCAGCACCUCACCCCAGGGACACGGCCUCCAGGCAGAGCAACAGAACCACAUUACCCAGGCAGAGACGACGGGCUGGGGGGAGAAUGUACACCUGAGAAGGGGAACUGUGGAUGGCCCCAUGCUGGAUAUUGCCCUGCUGGGUACAGUACAGCCCUCUGAGAACUCAUUUGCAGACAGAAUAGUGUCACAGGGAGAGUACAGUGGAUGGAGAUGCUGAAUACAAGUACUGAGGACUAUCCACCGCCAGAUCAUGGAUAAAACACCAGCUAAACCAUGGAGUGAAGCAACAACCAAUAUGGAAUUCCAAAUCACUGUUUACAAACUGUUGGACUGCAGAGACAAUGUGUAUUUUUUAUUACUGAAAUGAUAGUGUUUAUUGUACCGUCUGUAUUAAAUUAUUUCUAAGAAUG